AUUGAACGCUGGCGGCAUGCCUUACACAUGCAAGUCGAACGGUAACAGGUCUUCGGAUGCUGACGAGUGGCGAACGGGUGAGUAAUACAUCGGAACGUGCCUAGUAGUGGGGGAUAACUACUCGAAAGAGUGGCUAAUACCGCAUGAGAUCUACGGAUGAAAGCAGGGGAUCGCAAGACCUUGUGCUACUAGAGCGGCCGAUGGCAGAUUAGGUAGUUGGUGGGAUAAAAGCUUACCAAGCCGACGAUCUGUAGCUGGUCUGAGAGGACGAUCAGCCACACUGGGACUGAGAAACGGCCCAGACUCCUACGGGAGGCAGCAGUGGGGAAUUUUGGACAGUGGGCGCAAGCCUGAUCCAGCAAUGCCGCGUGCAGGAUGAAGGACUUCGGGUUGUAAACUGCUUUUGUACGGAACGAAAAGCCCUGGGUUAAUACCCUGGGGUCAUGACGGUACCGUAAGAAUAAGCACCGGCUAACUACGUGCCAGCAGCCGCGGUAAGAC
rnacentral:rRNA from 1 species